rnacentral:rRNA from 1 species
UAGGGAAUAUUGCACAAUGGGGGAAACCCUGAUGCAGCGACGCCGCGUGAAGGAAGAAGUAUCUCGGUAUGUAAACUUCUAUCAGCAGGGAAGACAAUGACGGUACCUGACUAAGAAGCCCCGGCUAACUACGUGCCAGCAGCCGCGGUAAUACGUAGGGGGCAAGCGUUAUCCGGAUUUACUGGGUGUAAAGGGAGCGUAGACGGAUCUGCAAGUCUGGAGUGAAAGCCCGGGGCUCAACCCCGGGACUGCUUUGGAAACUGUAGGUCUAGAGUGCCGGAGAGGUAAGCGGAAUUCCUAGUGUAGCGGUGAAAUGCGUAGAUAUUAGGAGGAACACCAGUGGCGAAGGCAGCAUACCGGCUCCAUACUGACGCUGAGGCACGAAAGCGUGGGGAGCAAACAGGAUUAGAUACCC